GUCUCUCUUUCUUCCCGCUCAAUCUCUCAUUUCUCUCUCUCAGCCUCAUAUAAAAACCCUAGAUCAAACAUUUCUCAUUCAAAUUCUCACUCAAUCAAUGGCUUCCGACGACAAAGUAUGACGACGUCGUGGCUGCUGGUAGUGGAGAACCUAACCCAACCGACGAUGGGUGGAUUAACCACCAACGCCCCAUCACUCGCCCCAUCUUGUUAUAUGUCUCUGGAUGCUAUGGGUCCGCUGGCGGUGGCGGUGGAAAAUCUCUCACCGUGAUACAAGGAAAAAGGAAAGCUCAAAGUUUCUCACCCUCCCGCCCCCUCGUUGGGCCGAUCGACGAUUCCGAUGGAAAAGCUUCAAGUCCACAUGCCACCCCUAACGCAAAUAAGCUAAGGAGCGAUGGGCUCUCCGAUUGCGUCACGUUACAAGAUCUCAAAGAUCGGUUCCAACUAAUAUUGGACCGGGAUGAUGCUGCUGCAACUGCCGUUGCCGAAGCAGAUAUUGAAUCUGAUGAAGCAGAUAUUGAAUCUGAUGUAUAUUCACCUAUGUAUUUUCCUUGGCCGAUGACUAAUAAAAGAUGGGAGGCUUCCAAGGCAGAGGUUGAACGACAGAUGAAAGAGGAAGGGUUUUCUCGCUUCAACAACCAUGAUGAUGAUGAUGAUGAUGAAUUAAAUUCCUCUAAGAAGAUUGAGAAAGUGUAAUAUUGUACUUUUCCAGCCUACCAGUGAUUAAUCCAAAGGGGAACUGUCAUGCUGUGCAACUACGUAGUGGGACCAAAUACCAACCUCCACAAGCAGCAGAUAUAGGCAGAACAAGGAAACAAAGAGAAAGGGAACAGACCGAUCCCAUGCCAGCUGCCGAUCAAACCCAGCGGCCCGCUGCACAUUUCCACAACAGUCUGCUGGGAACUUCACAGCCAGUCGAGUUAGAACCAGACCUAGAUUCAGAACCACCACCAGCGGCCCCUGCAGAAGAGUUAGUCUCCAGAACCACGGUUCUCUAGCACUGCCACCGUCCCUUACCCCCAGCGACUGACAAGCAAAAAGAUAGAGGCCCAGUUCGCCAAAUUCCUGGAGGUUAUGAGCAAGGUCCACAUCAACAUACCACUAGUGGAAGCAUUACAAGAAAUGCCCAACUAUGCCAAAUUUCUGAAAGAUGUGGUCGCUAAGAAAUGGAAGUAGGGGAAGUAUGAAACGGUUGAUCUAACCGAGAACUGCAGCGCUAUAAUCCAGGGAGUUUUACGUUAUCUUGUGUUUUGGGAAAUAAUGUAGAAAGUAAAGCUUUAUGUGAACUUUGAGCAAGUAUUAAUUUAAUGCAUUUUUCUUUCUACAUGAAGCAAUAUUGACAAUAUCCGCCCCACAUCAAUCACUUUGCAAAUGGCGGAUAGGAGCACAGUAACACCAAGGGGGGUCGUGGAGGAUGUGUUGGUAAGAGUAGGUGAAUUCAUUUUUCCUGCUGAUUUCAUUGUUUUGGACAUGCAGGAAGACAAGAAGGUACCUUUGAUACUUGGGAGACCAUUUUUAGCCACUGGGGAGCUAUGAUAGAUGUACAGAAGUGGGAGCUUACUUUGCGAAUGAAUAAUGAAAGUAUCACCUUCAACAUCAAUGACACUUUGAAAUUCCAUGGGAAAGACGGAGCGGAAGGCUAUCAGGAGUGCAGUGUCAUCCAAGUAGUCACGGAUUGCGUAGGAGAAGUAGAAGUCACAUACCACCGAACUCAGGAUCCUUUGGAAUCUUGUCUUGUUAAUUUUCUCACCCCUACUACUGAUUCAUCUAAUUGCAAGGCUAAUGUGUAUGUUAUGAUUGCAAAACUCGAGGUCCUUCCCGAAAGAAUUCCUCAGAAGGAAAAUACAUUCUUGCCGUUGCGCACUCCUGAAGAAGAGGAAGAAAACAAUAGGGAAACCACGAGGAUCACCAAAAGUAUAAUUGAAGCCACUCCCUGAGCACCUCAGUUAUUAGGCAUUUGUUCGCAAAGAAGGACACGAAACCCCGGCUCAUACUAUGGAUUUUGCUGCUGCAAUAAUUUGAUGUGGAGAUACGCGAUAGGAAGGGCUGUGAGAAUCUAAUGUCCGAUCACUUGUCUCGAUUGGAGCAUCCUAUAGAGGGAGAAGAUCUAUCACAAGAAAUCAACGAGGACUUCCCCGACGAGGCUGUGCAGGAACAAGAGCUCCACGAAGAGGUAGGUAGGUUGUGCUGACUUUUUUUGAAUUCCGGGCUCUUGAUGUUUUUUCCUUCUUUUGUGGCUCGGUGAGAGGAUGGUUGGUUUGUUGCUUUGUUGGGGCUUCUUUGUUAGGUAUUUUUUUGCUUGUUUUGGAUCCCUUUUUGGGAGGUUGGGGGUUUCGCUUUUGUUGGUGGUCUCUCCUUUGGGCUUGCCACUUUGUAGCUCGCCGUCUUGUGGCUUGAGAAUUUGUUUUUCAUAAAAAAAAAUGAGGACUUCCCCGACGAGCAUCUACUCUUUACCCAAGCCAAUUUUCCAUGGUAUGCUGACAUUGUCAAUUAUUUAGUGGCCAAGGUACAUCCUCUCGAUCUUACUCCUUAUCAAAAGAAAUUUUUUUAUAGAGAUGUAAGGUCUUAUGUGUGGGAUGAGCCAUAUAUGUUCAAGAGAUGUGCAGAUACUAUACUUAGAAGGUGUGUACCCCAAGAAGAGUGGGAUGUCAUAGUUGAAAGAUGUCAUUCAUCACCAACCGGAGGCCUUUCGGUGUGCAAAGGACUACCAUCAAAAUCCUUCAAAGUGGUUUCUAUUGGCCGACUAUUUAUCGCGACUCUGCAAGUUAUGUGUUGCAAUGCAAUGAAUGCCAAAGCACAUGAGGAAUAUCUAAGAAGAAGGAGAUGUCUAUGAACACCAUCAUUGAGGUAGAAUUAUUUGAUGUAUGGGGGAUAGAUUUUAUGGGACGAUUCCCAAAAUCGGGGGAGUAUCAAUACAUUUUACUUGCAGUUGGAUAUGUUUCUCGAUGGGUGGAAGCAAUUCCUACCAAAACUAAUGACUCUAAAGUUGUGACUGCAUUUGUGAGGAAAAACAUUUUUAGUAGGUUUGGUACACCCCGUGCCCUCAUAAGUGAUGGAGGAUCCCACUUCAACAAUAGGUGGCUAGGUAUGGAGUCAAGCAUAUGGUCACUUCUUCGUACCAUCCUUAAGCUAAUGGGCAGACGAAGCUUGCAAAUAGGGAGGUUAAGUUCAUCCUAUAAAAAACAGCGAGCAUAAACAGAAAGGAUUGGGCACUACGUUUGGAUGAUGAGUUGUGGGCAUAUCGCACCGCAUACAGAUCUCCUAUAGGUAUGUCUCCUUACCAAUUAGUUUUUGGAAAAUCAUGUCAUUUGCCUUUUGAAUUGGAACAUAGGUCUUAUUGGGCGGUAAAGAUGCUAAAUCAAGAUUUCCAAAAGGCCGGAGAAGAGAGACGCAUGUUUCUCAAUGAGAUUGGCGAAUUCCGAAAGGAAGCAUAUGAUAGUUCUUCUACCUACAAAGAAAUGAUGAAAGCUUACCAUGAAAAAAUGAUCAGUCCAAGAGAGCUCACAUUAGGGGAUGUUGUUUUGUUGCAUAAUUUGAGACUCUAUCUUUUCCCCGGAAAGUUGAAGUCCAAAUGGACCGGUCCCUAUAUGAUCAAGAAAAUCUAUAAUAGUGGAACGGUUGAGUUACUAGCUCCGGAUGGAACGUUGUUUCAAGCCAAUGGCCAUUGUGUGAAGAAAUUCUAUAGCUUGGACAAGGUGAUGGAAGAGGAUGAAGUGACACUAGAAGAACCUCCCAAGGAGUAAAAGGGGUAAAGUCAAGCUAAUGACAAUAAAAGAGCGUUUGUUGGGAGGCAACCCAGUCAUUUAUUUCUAGUUUUUAAGUAUUUUUGUGUUUAAUUUUCAUUUUUGUGUUGAUUGGAAUUUUCGCAGUUUGUGGACAUCACCCAGCGACUGCUGGCGCGCGCAGUUGCCCGCUGGCAACUUACUGGAACGAUCUGACUCUUCACAGCGACCGCUGGAGAGCUCCCAGCGACCGCUGCCCGACUAUAGUUUUCCAGCCGCAAUUUCAAAGUAUCUUUACAGUUUUCAUAGUUUACUCACUUCCCGACCGACUCUACAAACUUAUUUUACACUUUUUGUAAAUAAGUUUGAGGGGUGAAGUGGUGGAACGUGAGUUUAGGUUUUUGUCUUAGUUUAAGUUUUUGUUUUUGUUUAAAAAACCCGAAAGGUGAAUCCAUGUCAUAAACAUAGCAUGAAGAACUUUGAAACACGCAUGUUUAAGGACACUUUAGACCGAGUUUCCAAUGAUAUGAAGUUCUUUUUAUCUUU